UACGUAGGGUGCGAGCGUUGUCCGGAAUUACUGGGCGUAAAGAGCUCGUAGGUGGUUUGUCGCGUCGUGCGUGAAAGACCCCGGCUCAACUGGGGGGUGUCGUGCGAUACGGGCGGACUGGAGGCCAGUAGGGGGAUGCGGAAUUCCGGGUGUAGUGGUGGAAUGCGUAGAGAUCCGGAGGAACACCAGCGGCGAAGGCGGCAUCCUGGACUGGUCCUGACACUCAUGAGCGAAAGCGUGGGGAGCGAUCCGG
rnacentral:rRNA from 1 species